UCGUGAGAGAGGCCAGGAGAGAGCUUUCCCCCUUAAAACCCUAACAUACUAAAUCCUUCAAAUUAAAGAGGAAAUUGAAGGCUAGUGGAAUGCAUGGAUUAAGAAUGAUGAUCACCUAAGCAUUUCCUACAUCAAGAACGAGAGUAAAGGAAAGCUUGAGUCAUACCCAAGAUAAAGUGACGAAAAAUCAAGGUAAAUCCUCACCUUAGGCGAUUUGGGAGAAUCGGAGCGAGCACGUGUCCAUGUCAUGUUAUACCAAACGCUUCCGCUAGAUUAUUCUCAUCUUUUUGGUCCAUGACUUGUUAUUUUGUACAACUUUGUUAGUAGUUGUACAUUUGUAAAACUUGUCGUCUUUGCUUUUGGUAGUUUUAUGUCAACGGGUUCGUAGAAUGUUAUUUGAAUGAUUAUGUUAAAAACAGGGGGCACGUUCGUUUUACGAACGGGUCAUG